AUGAAGAAGAUAGCAGCGGGAGCAUUCGCAGAUUUGCCCCGCAGUGCGUCUGAUGCCGCCACCUACUACCGAGCCGAGGAGGGGAGCUCGACGGAGAAGGUGUUGUGGUCUCAGUAUGCUGAGGCCGGACACCUGGUGCCUUUGAGCGACCAGCUGAAGCAGAUGGUCGAGCUCCACAAGGUUGCCGAACAGGCCGUAAAGGGCCUCAUAGUUUGGCUAUGGCCUGGAGAGGCUCUGCCUGGGAGCUACUUCGGGCUGGUGAGACGGCUGGUGUAUGCCUGUCCACGGCUUGAAGUAAUCAAGCGCUCCGUCUGCAUCGAAGGUGCCCGUAGGGCGCUUGCCCGUGCUAUAGUGCACCGGGGCAAGAUGGAUGCGGAGAAGCUGGUAAAGGACGGGCCGCCGCCGGGCAAGGAGCAUCGCGUCCCAGAAGCGUAUUAUGAGGGCGUCCUGAAGGGUGCCCGCCUUAUAGCGGAUGAAUGCUCCAAAGAUGUGAUUUUUGAGUAA
rnacentral:rRNA from 1 species